rnacentral:rRNA from 1 species
AGCGAACGCUGGCGGCAGGCCUAACACAUGCAAGUCGAACGGACCCUUCGGGGUUAGUGGCGGACGGGUGAGUAAAACGUGGGAACGUGCCUUUAGGUUCGGAAUAGCUCCUGGAAACGGGUGGUAAUGCCGAAUGUGCCCUUCGGGGGAAAGAUUUAUCGCCUUUAGAGCGGCCCGCGUCUGAUUAGCUAGUUGGUGAGGUAAUGGCUCACCAAGGCGACGAUCAGUAGCUGGUCUGAGAGGAUGACCAGCCACAUUGGGACUGAGACACGGCCCAAACUCCUACGGGAGGCAGCAGUGGGGAAUCUUGCGCAAUGGGCGAAAGCCUGACGCAGCCAUGCCGCGUGGAUGAUGAAGGUCUUAGGAUUGUAAAAUCCUUUCACCGGUGAAGAUAAUGACUGUAGCCGGAGAAGAAGCCCCGGCUAACUUCGUGCCAGCAGCCGCGGUAA